rnacentral:rRNA from 1 species
GACGAACCGUGCGAACGUUGUUCGGAAUCACUGGGCUUAAAGGGCGCGUAGGCGGGCUCACAAGUCAGGGGUGAAAUCCCACGGCUCAACCGUGGAAGUGCCUUUGAUACUGUGGGUCUUGAGGGAGGUAGGGGCGUGCGGAACUUCCGGUGGAGCGGUGAAAUGCGCAGAUAUCAGGAGGAACACCGGUGGCGAAGGCGGGUCUCUGGGCCGAUAUCGACGCUGAGGAGCGAAAGCGUGGGGAGCGAACAGG